GACGAACCGUGCAAACGUUAUUCGGAAUCACUGGGCUUAAAGCGCGUGUAGGCGGGCCGGCACGUCGGUCGCUGAAAUCCCCCGGCUCAACCGGGGAAGCGGCGCCGAUACGACCGGCCUGGAGGGGCGUAGGGGGACCUGGAACUUCCGGUGGAGCGGUGAAAUGCGUUGAGAUCGGAAGGAACGCCCGUGGCGAAAGCGAGGUCCUGGACGUCUACUGACGCUGAGACGCGAAAGCUAGGGGAGCGAACGGG
rnacentral:rRNA from 1 species